AAGACACGGUCUUUUCGGGGCUUUAAGGAUCCCGUAGCGUUCGGAGGGGACAAAAUCUGCCCUACGGGGAGGAUGCUCGAGCAAGACUCGAGCUGGAGUGCCCUUGGUCGGGGACGCUACUCGUUACGGGUAACGGCGGGCAUUGCCACUAGGGUCUGUGGUCGGGCACGUUUGGGAUGGUCUGAUUAUGAGCACUCCCCGAGGAGCUGCCUGGAUCUGGGCCUUUAUUUGCACUUUGGGCCAAGGCGGGCCCAGUCCAGAACAAGAGCCCCCCAAGUCGUUGUUCCUGGGACAGGAGUUAUGACUUGA